rnacentral:rRNA from 1 species
CAAUAGCGUAUAUUAAAGUUGUUGCGGUAAAAAAGCUCGUAGUUGGAUUUCUGUUGAAGUCGACCGGUCCAUACCACGUAUGCGUAUCUGGUUUCGAUUUCGGCAUCCUCUCGAAAAACGUUUUUGCGCUUGAUUGCGUGAUGCGGAGUUCGGGACUUUUACUUUGAGGAAAUUAGAGUGUUCACGGCAGGCUAUCGCCCGAAUACGUUAGCAUGGAAUAAUGAUAUAGGAUCUUGGUUCUAUUUUGUUGGUUUCUAGAAUUGAGAUAAUGAUUAAUAGGGACAAUUGGGGGCAUUCGUAUCAACACGUCAGAGGUGGAAUUCUUGGAUUGUGUUGCGACGAACUACUGCGAAAGCAUUUGCCAAGGAUGUUUUCAUUGAUCAAGAACGAAAGUAAGGGGAUCGAAGAUGAUAGAUACCAU